UCUCAACCAUUAAAUCGGAAACAAUCAAUGGCUCAUGCUAGUUAUCCACACUUUUCCCUUUUAUCCAAUCAAAAUAAUGAUUUAAAAUGAAUAAAUAAAAAUAAGAAAAAAAUGUAAAAUCUCUCUCUUCCUCCAAACCUUUCCAACAACUCACCUCUAACGGUAAUAAAAAGAAAAGCUGGCAAAGAGGACACGUUCCACUACAUAUUCUCUCUCUCCAAAAAUAACAAAAGGAAAAAAAAAGAAAAACUCUCGUCUCUCUCUAGCUGAUGGCUACCCCUCACUCACCUACCAACUCCCCUCAUAUUCUCUUUUUUGGCUAAAAAACAAAGAAAAAAGAAAACGAAAAAGCAAAAGAAAAGAGGAAACCCAUUC
rnacentral:lncRNA from 1 species